AAGCAUGUCAGCAGGACACUUUUUGGUUAAUUGCUUGUAUCUCUCCCAAGCUUCAUAGAGGGACUCACCUUCUUUCUGUUGGAAGGUUUGAAUGUCCACUCUAAGCUU